UUAAGCUUCUCUUCUUAUUUCUUCACUUCCAUAUUCACAAAAGAGAACAUCAAACCAUAAAAAUUCAUAGAAGUAUAGCUAGGACAAGUUCUGCACCUUUUCUAGGUGAAAAUCCUAUGUUUUGAAGUUUGAAUUCAUCUCUAAUCAAGUCUUGUAGCACACCUUAUCUAAGAACUGAUCCUUUCACUUCAUAGACCAUAUUGAACUUGAGGUAAGUGUUAAGUGUAUAUUUUUACACUUAAUGGUACCUUUUAAUUGGAGCUUUUGGUGUGUUUUAAUGAUAAUUGGUGCUUAAAAUGGUUAUUAUUUGUAUUUUAGGUGCAAAUUGAAGAAUUGUCAACUUUUGGGGUGAAAACUGCAAAUUCGGAGAAAAAGUGGGCCAAAAGUGAAAAAAUCAGAUUUCUGAAGAAUUGAAGACCGCGCGGCCGUGCGGAUUUCAGGCGUAAAUCUCACACGGCCGUCCGGAUGGUCGUGGUGGCGCAGUGAAGGAAGUUUAAUUACACAAGGAAACCCGCCCUAUUAUAUUUUUGCACCCUAUUUAAAGGCCAAAAGCACACAAUUAGGAAUUAUCUUUUAAUCUUUUAUUAUCUUUUAUCUUUAGUUUUUAUUUUUCAUCUUUCUACACGCAAUCAAGGAGCACAAGAACGAAGACGAAGACUUGACGACUCUUCAUCAUAGUUCUCCUCUUUUAUUGUUAUUUAUAGCUUUUAUGAUUUUUCAUCUUUUUAUUAUGCUUUUCGUAGAGAACAUGAGUAGCUAAGUUUUUAUUCUAGGAUUUUAUUGGAACCCUAUGUGGUAAUUCGAACCUCUUUUUCGACUUUUAUGCAAGUUUAAUUCUUCGAUUAUUUAUUCUAUCUUGAUCUUAUUUAGCGCAUGAACGUAGGCGCCGUUGCCGGGGAAUACGGCUAAAUUAUUCAUUUAUCCUAAUAUGAAAUUUGAGCAAUUUUUCUUACUUCAGCCAAUUUAUUUAUUUUAUUUAAUUAUUUUUUUUAUUAUUAUUUUGUUUUAGGUACUUUUUAUGCGAAGAGGACACGACACGAACUUGCUACCUCUUGAUCCCGAAAUUGAGCGAACGUUUAGGCAAGCCAGGAGAAAUCAACGGUUAGCCCAAAACACUCCGGCAACUAUGGAAGACGAGAAUAGUCGUGGGGGAGGUGACCAAGGGCGCCUACUGAAUGCGGCAGGGGAAAUCGUUAUCGAGCAAGAGCAACGCCUGCUAAUCAAUCCACCGCCUCGUCAACGAGCAUUGCAUGAGUACACCGUCCCGACACUCAAUGGGUUCCAAUCAAGCAUCCAGCAGCCCCCCAUUGAAGCCAACAAUUUCGAGAUUCGAGCGGGACUCCUCACGAUGCUCCAAAACAAUGGUCUAUUCAGCGGAUUGGCUCAUGAAGAUCCACAUCUUCACUUGGUCAACUUUCUCGAAACGUGUGACUCGCACAAGAUGAACGGAGUAACACCCGAAGCAUUGCAACUCCGCCUGUUCAAGCACUCCCUACAAGGAGCAGCCCGAGAAUGGUUGCAAACUCGUGCACCGCACUCCAUCUCGUCGUGGGCCCAGCUAGCUCAACUUUUCAUGAACACAUACAACUCCCCAACAAAAACUGAGAGAAUCCGGCGAGAAAUUCAAAACUUCAUACAAGAAGCCGGUGAAGCAUUAUUCGAGACGUGGGAGCGGUUCAAACAGUUAGUAAGGAGGUGCCCGAAUCACGGACUACAAGAGUGGCGCCAACUGCAAAAAUUUUACGAUGGACUGCAAGACAACUCGAGGACAGUGCUCGACUCUACAGCUGGAGGCAUGUUCAUGAGUUUGACUUACGACGAAGCAUACGAACUCUUGGAGCGGAUCGCUAGAAACAAAUACAUGCGGGCAUCGGACCGGUCGAAUAGCGGAGCAGUCAAGACUGGAGGAAUUUUGGAGUUAGAUGGAGUCACUGCAAUCACGGCCCAAUUGGAGAAGCUAUCGAAGCAAGUAGUGGCUUUGCAGACUAAGCAAGUCCACGCAGUCCAAGUUCCCGACCAGCGCAUAGAAGAAACGGAGUCUCUGAAUUAUGUGCAUGACACCAACCGACAACAGAGGAACCUGUACUCCAAUACUUACAAUCCCGGAUGGAAGGAUCACCCUAACUUUGGGUGGGGAGGAAAUCAGCAAGGACAAAGGCAAGCAACACCUCAAGGUCAAACACCAAAUCAUUCACGACCAGCUCCUGGAUUCCAAAAUCCGCCUCAAGCUCAACCUCAAGGUGUAGAUCUCGCAAAUAUCUUGGCGCAAUUCAUGACAACCACCCAAGCCUCCAUCCGGAAUUUGGAAACACAAAUGGGUCAACUUGCAACCCAGCUAACCACGAGGCCAUCGGGAGCACUGCCGUCGAAUACGAAAGAUCCUCGGAAGAACAACGUCGAGCAGUGCAGCGCUGUGAGUUUAAGGAAUGGGAGACAAUUGGAGGAAGCCCCACGAAAAGAGAAGCAAAACACGGUGAUCGAGAAGCCAAGCGUGAUUGGAGAAAAAGAAGCGACUCACGAAGAACCACUAUCAUCUCCAGUGAAAUCACGAGCCCCUCCGAUUUCAUAUCCUCAGAAGCUUAUGAAGAAGAAGCUCGAUGCCGAGUAUCAAAGAUUUUUGGACAAGCUGAAGGAAAUCCAAUUAAAUAUCCCGUUUAUUGAAGCCCUUCAAAAGAUGCCAAAAUGGGUGAAGUUCCUCAAGGAUCUCGUGACGAAAAGGAAGAAAUUGCAAGGGAACGAGAUGAUCCAACUCACGGAACAAUGUAGUGCAAUUCUUACACGGCCCCUUCCACAAAAACUCGGCGAUACAGGUAAGUUCACUAUCCCUUGUACUAUAGGAGGUAAAAAUUUUAGAUCGCUUAUUGAUUUGGGUGCUAGCAUUAAUCUUAUGCCUUAUUCCACUUAUAAAAAUCUUGGGUUAGGUGAGAUUGAACCUACGGCUAUAACUCUGCAAUUAGCCGAUAGGUCUUUGGUUUACCCAAAAGGUAUUUUAGAGAAUGUGCUAGUAAAGGUGAACAAAUUUAUCUUCCCGGUUGAUUUUGUUGAACUCGAUAUAGAUGAAGAUAGGGAGAUACCUCUUAUUUUAGGGAGACCGUUUUUAGCCACUUCGAAAACUCUAAUUGAUUGUGCUAGUGGUGAUCUUACAAUGACGGUGCAUGAUGAAACGAUCAAAUUUAAUGUUUUUUGUGCUAAUAAAAAUCCAUGUGAGAAUAAUGAGUGUUUUACUAUUGAGCUUAUGGAUUUUACAAAUCAUGAAAAUUUUGAUGUUUCAAUUUUGGACCAUGGGAAAGCAUCGUCGAGUGCAGGAGAUGACAACGGAAAAGGGAAUCGGAAGGAGCACGUUUGUUGUGCGAACUCAAUUUCAACACCUCCGAGAGAUAGUCAAAAGAGUUGGGGUGCUAACGGUGAUGAACGUGCAAGGAGGAUGUGGCCACCUAAAAAAUCAAACGAGCGUCAUCGAGGAGAGGAAUCCAAUUGCCAAGUGACUUCGGUCACGUUAGCUUAAACAAAGAAGCAGACAAAGUCCGGCUGAAGACUGUAAACUUAGCGCUUCUCGGGAGGCAACCCGAGCUUUCGUUUUUCUUUCUUUUAUUUUAUUUUUUUUAUUAUUUUUGUUUUUAUUUAUUUAGCUUGUUAGUGUUCGUUCUUAUUUUAUUUCAGUUUUGAAAAAAAAAAAAAAAGUUUCAGAGGCACUAAUUAGAAGUUUUUAUUUUAUAGGGACUUAAUUGCAAUUCUUCACACGGCCGUGCAAGAAAAAGGCAGGAAUCUCACACGGCCGUGUGAGAUUUCGGAUGAGCUACUGUCCAAAUUGGCCAAUUGAUGCGGCCGUGCGGAUUUAUGCCUACAAUCUCGCACGGCCGUCCGAAAUAUAAAGUGGCUACUGCCCAAAUUCAACAAAUGGUGCGGCCGUGCGGAUAUUAAGCCUCUAUCUCGCACGGCCGUCCGAGGGAAAAAACGGGGGCAGCUUUAAAUAGAAUUUUUCACACCCCAAGCUUCACAAAUCCAAAACCUCUCUCUCAUACUUCGAACCCUAACGUUUUCUUUUCAAAAUUUUCGAUUUUCUUUGACAAAUUUCACCAGAAAUUCACCAAUUACACACACAUAAUACUUAAACUUGGUUGUUUGUUGCUGAUUUGUGCAGGGAGGAGUCAAGAAAGGUACAAAUUUCUCCAAAAAUCCAUUCCACCACGAACGCCCACAAGGUGUCCGACGAAUUGCCCAAGUCAAGUUUGGGGGAAAUUUUGCACAUCAAUCCACUCCUAAACCCUUCCACACACAUUCUCAAGUCAUGGGGAAACGAGGACGUGACGGAGAGGGCACUUUGCGAAGGCCCUUCAAAAGGCAAGGGGAAGGGCAAGAAAACCGAUCAAAUUCCAACACCCGACGAAGAUGCUUGUUGUGUCGAAGGCGGUAGUGCUCGCUUUGAGAAGCAAAAAGUGAAGAAACUAGUGACGGAACGUGCCUAUGAGAUCACCCUUCCACAAUUUGCACCGUUGCACCAAGAAUUUCUACGACGAGGUUGGCAAGCAUUAUUGGAACCGGAGGGUUCGAUCAACCUAUCAUUGGUCCGCGAGUUCUACGCCAACAACCGUAUCCUCCUCACAACGGAUCGGAACUCGAGCACGGUUCGAGGAAAGAAGGUCGAUUGGUGUGCCCACGCAAUCAACUCUUUUUAUCACCUCCGACACACGUCAUUCAAUUGGGAGCAAUUGCAACUUGCGGUCACACGAGAUCAAAUCGCCGAGGUGUUGUGCGAUGGACCCCCCAUUUGGUCCAACCUCUCAACCGAAGAAACGUACGAGUUGGAGUGGAAAUGCAUUCACCAAAUAGGCAAGGCGUGCCUUACGUUCAUUUUUGCCAACCUCAUUCCCACCCGCUCGUGGACUCACGUGGAUCCCGAACGGUGCGCCCUUGCUUACCACAUUCUCAAGGGCACACCGAUCAACAUUGGCGAAAUCAUAUCCGACCGAUUUUGGACCUCCAUGGUCAACAACUCCAAGGGGUUUUAUUUCCCUUGCCUAGUUACCGGCUUGUGCAAGAAGGCGAAGGUCCCAACCAAAACGACGGAUAUUCUCACCUCGAUUCGGAAGCCGAUGAGUAACCUUGCGGCCCGACAAUACAAGGCACCCAUCCAAGAUGGCGAGCAACCCGUCGAUGGCCAACCAAUAGCUCCACCCGAGGGUCCAAGUACAAGUUCGGACCGGCGAUUUCAAAGAAGAAUGGAGCGCGAGUUGGUGAUUACGAGAAAUCGGCUUGCCAAGGUGGAGCACAAGGUGAGCACGAUCGAAUCCCUCCAACGAUGGUCGGGAAAGAUGCUCCAAGCCAUUGUGCGCCAUUUGGCUUGCGGCAAUCCCGAGUGCGCCGAACCGGUUCCGUUGCCCGCACCGAUUCUUGAGCCGGUACCCGAGCUUUCGGGUGAUGAAGGAGAUGGUGAUGCUCAUGCGCAAGGUGGAGUUGGUGAGCAACCUGACGAUGGUCCCGACGCUUAAAAACAGGUGUUUUCUAUCCUUAAACUCCGGGCGAAUCACAUUGAGGGCAAUGUGAAUUUUAAGUUUGGGGGUGGUUAACUACUUGUUUUCGUUUAUGUGCGCUUUAUUUGUGUUUUAUUUUUUAUUUUUUAUUUUUUAUUUUGCAUGCUUUAGUUUUUGUUUUAGUUGCCGUUUUAUUAUUUCCGUUUUUAUUAUAUAUAAAAAAAAAUAAAAAAAAAAUAAAAAAAAAAUAUUUUUCGAUGCAUCGAUGAACUAUGAUGAUGGGAGAUGGUCAAUGUUUGAUGAUGAGAUUACUUGUUUUAUGUUGAUAAGGAGUAUGUAUUCGUUUAGCUUUCGAUUCAACGGAACGUAGAAGUGAAUUAUUGCUAGGAAUCACACCUUGUGCAUUGCUUUGGUUGAAUGUUUUGCAUUUUAAAUUUGGAAUUUAUUUGUGCUCAAUCAUGUUUUGUUCGGUUUUAAAUCUCACCUUAGGACAUUUAUGAUACGAAGUGUUGAUAGUAAGUGAAUUGGGAUAUGAUUUGGGCCUUCUUUGAACCGUUUGAGCCUUUCAAGCCUACCCUUUUUGCAAAUUAUCCUUAGAACCUUGAUUUGAGCAUCGGAGAAAAGGUGUUCUUUCUUUUAGCCAAUAUGUAGAAGGUAGAAAAGUGGAGAUUUUUGAAUAAAUAUCCCUUAGUGGUCGGUCGAAAAAUUCUUAUAAGAUCUUUCUUCUUCUUCGAAAAAAAAAAUUAAAUAAAUAAUAAAUAAAUAAAUAAUAAUAAUAAUAGAUAUAUAUAUGUGCAUCUUCAUAUAUAUAUCUAAAUUCUUCGAUUCGAUUAAAAAAAAAAAAAGAAGAAGAAGAAUAGAUUAGAAGGGAGAAAUAAGGACUAGUUGUUGAAUUGUGUUGAAAACUCGAUCCAUUGCCUCAAAAGCAAGAGUGUUGACGUGUGAAUUUUGGAGAAUCGAGUUUAUUAAAGUCCCUAGAGGUGAAUUCAUUGUUUCAAACGCCUAUCUUUCAAAUUUUGGCGUAAUCACCUCAAUUCAAGAAAAUUAGCCACACAUACCCAUAUUACCUACCUCGGACCAAAGAGCCUAACAAUUGAAAGCCACAAAGCCCCAAUGAUCCCAAUAAAUUAUUGUUCAAUAUUAGUUGAGUAAAAUAAUUUGGUGAGUAUUUGGAGUCAAAUAUAUGCAUGUGAGUAUAAAUUUUCUCUAUUUUUAACUUGCAAAUAUUGGAUACUUGAAGCAAUUGUAUGAUUUGUGGUUUUUGGUAAUAGUGAGUGACUAAGUACAGUUGAAUGUUAAGCUUGCGAAUACCUAGGAAUUAUCAUCAUAAUUGCAAGUUCUGAAAACGCGAAGUUGACCAAUCGAUCUAUGUAAUGAGAUGUAUAAUCGUCGUUUGUGCUUGUAAAUUGAUUUUACUUGAGGACAAGCAAAAGUUCAAGUUUGGGGGUGUGUUAAGUGUAUAUUUUUACACUUAAUGGUACCUUUUAAUUGGAGCUUUUGGUGUGUUUUAAUGAUAAUUGGUGCUUAAAAUGGUUAUUAUUUGUAUUUUAGGUGCAAGUUGAAGAAUUGUCAACUUUUGGGGUGAAAACUGCAAAUUCGGAGAAAAAGUGGGCCAAAAUUAAAAAAAUCAGAUUUCUGAAGAAUUGAAGACCGCGCGGCCGUGCGGAUUUCAGGCGUAAAUCUCACACGGCCGUCCGGAUGGUCGUGGUGGCGCAGUGAAGGAAGUUUAAUUACACAAGGAAACCCGCCCUAUUAUAUUUUUGCACCCUAUUUAAAGGCCAAAAGCACACAAUUAGUUUUAAUCUUUUAUUAUCUUUUAUCUUUAGUUUUUAUUUUUCAUCUUUCUACACGCAAUCAAGGAGCACAAGAACGAAGACGAAGACUUGACGACUCUUCAUCAUAGUUCUCCUCUUUUAUUGUUAUUUAUAGCUUUUAUGAUUUUUCAUCUUUUUAUUAUGCUUUUCGUAGAGAACAUGAGUAGCUAAGUUUUUAUUCUAGGAUUUUAUUGGAACCCUAUGUGGUAAUUCGAACCUCUUUUUCGACUUUUAUGCAAGUUUAAUUCUUCGAUUAUUUCUUCUAUCUUGAUCUUAUUUAGCGCAUGAACGUAGCUAAUUUAUGUUGCUAUUUCUUAUUGUUAGAAUUGAUUGACAGAUCGUUUUAAUAAUUAGAACAGGGAUAGAAGAGCCUUCGAGUAGUUUUCACCGGAUGAGUGUGUUAAUUGCAUGUAUUAUCGUAGACAUACAGAUAAUACCUUAGGUAGCCGUUUACGAGACUUGUUAUUUAAUGCUUUAUUUAUACUAGGUUUGCAUAGACAUAUAGGGAAUCUUUUAUGAAUAAUAGGUUUAUAACGCAGCGACAGCUGGUUAUGAGUAAUUUCGUGUCUUGGGUUAAUAAUCGGGAAUCGUAACUUGCAUGAUAGGAGAUUAAUUGGGUGAAGAAUUAUCGCAUAGGGGGAAGAUAAAAUCCUAGAUCCGUUUAUUAUUGAUAUUUUUCUCGUGUUUAAUUGCUUUCUUAAUUAGUUUAAUUUGUUUAGUUAAUUAAUUUGACAACCCUGCGUAGGCUGGAUAAAAAUCACAAUUGUUAGGAUUUGGUACUUAGGAUUAAAUAAUUUGCGUAUUCCCUGUGGGAUCGACAUCCGACUCUCACGAGUCUACUUUACUACUUGUUUGCGAUACGUACACUUGCGUGUUGGUAUUUAGCACCCAACAGUAAGUUGAAGCUUUCAUUUGCUCAUGAUAAGAACCAAAUUAUGUGUGCUUUAAUGUGACUUUUGCUACGUGUUAUCCAUGAUGUUUGAAUGAUUGAUGAGUCAUAGUGAUAUAAAAGAAUAUGUUUUGAAAAUGGGAGUAUGGUACUUGAUUGAUGGUCGAGUAGGCAAGGGACGCGGGAGGAACCGGCGGACCCAACGCAUGGUGGCAAAUACCUGAGGUCGAAAGACCAGUAUGGAAAACCCACAAUUAAAGAAAUGAAAUACGGCUAAUACCUGAGGUCCAAAGGCCGGUAUGGAAACCCCCUUAUUAUCUAUUGGCCAAAUGUGAUGAACAGGUUCCGAAAAUCACAGUCUAUUGCUAUCAAUCAAGUACCACACUUCAAGGGUACCCGAUAAAGAGAAGGAUUUCAAAGAAAAGGAUCAUGAAUGAAGUUAUAUGUGAUAUUGUACUUAUUGAAUGAAUAAUGCGUUAUGUGAUAUAUCGCUAUUACAUCAGUUUCAACUUGCUGAGCCAUUAGCUCAUUAGGUUCUUAUGAUGCAGGUAAUGAUGUACAUGUUUAGAAGUUGACCUAGCCAAGAGCGGCCAGUCAGAGAUUUGUUCAUAUGCCAUGCUUCGAGCCAUUUUUGUAGCCGAGCUAGAAACUCUGAUUUCAUUUUGUUAGCCGCUCGUUUAUGGUUUUUGUACAAUGUAAUUU
rnacentral:lncRNA from 1 species